CACGUAGGGGACGAGCGUUGUCCGGAAUCAUUGGGCGUAAAGCGCGCGUAGGCGGCCCGGAAAGUCGGAUGUGAAAUCCCGGGGCUCAACCCCGGGCCUGCAUCCGAUACUCCCGGGCUGGAGGCAGGUAGGGGAGAUCGGAAUUCCUGGUGUAGCGGUGAAAUGCGCAGAUAUCAGGAGGAACACCAGUGGCGAAGGCAGCGAACUGGCGCUCGAUUGACGCUCAGGCACGAAAGCAUGGGGAUCAAACAGG
rnacentral:rRNA from 1 species